UGUUAUGAAACAUUGUUAGAGAAAGAUGCAAGUGUCAUUGUGUUAUUGGCGUUACAAGUAAGUUUUUCUGCGUGGUUGGGUCGAUGCCGCUUUAUUAUCGGCAAUGUCGCUCUCCGACGAAAAAAACUUACUCCGCAAGACAGGCGCCCUUUUCGUUUCCAAAUCCCCUCUCUUUUUCCCAAUUUUCUCUUCUUCUUCUACCCUCUUCACACAAAUGACAGCUUCCCAGCUCCAAAACCCAGCUGUAACACACAGACAGAGUGGACACACCCCGCUUCCCACCCAUCAUCAGGCUGAAAUUGAACAAACAAUUACAGAUAGAGGGAUUAUUUUUCUGUAAUAAUCGGCGGACUUCGGUAGUUUGGUGAUAGGAUCAUAGAGAAAUACUACAUCAGUAACCAGAGGAAGAUGUACAGGGUUUAUGAAUUUGAUUGUGAUUUUCCAAGAAAGUUAUUUUAUUAAAAAAGAUAGUUUCUUAAUGACUGGAAAAGAAGUAUUGGAGUUGAGAGGCUUGCUGGUAUGAGGAGUGACUUGUAUGCCUGUUCUUAAUUUGCCAAUUUGAGGAUAGGGGGUAUAGCAGCUCAGGUAGCUGAGUCACCAUUUUUAUGCAGCUAAGCAGGUUCGAGCAUUUUUUUGAUACCAUGACCAAUGAGGUUCCUGGACCAUCAGGUCAAUGGAUCCAGAAAGAAGCAACCUUAGUUGUUCCAAACAUGGUUAAGAAUGUACACAAUCAUGUCUCAGUACAGACAGGGGAGGAAUUUUCCAUGGAGUUUCUUCAGGAUCGUUUUGCAUCGAGAAGAGGUCCUGCUGUGACUGAUAUGGUUGAGAAUUGUGAAAAUAAGGUUGGAUUGAAUUAUAAUCAGAAUUAUCAGCUGGGGUAUCAGGAUCUUACUGGUAUUCUGGGGUUAACGAGGAUGGACUCAGAGGUGCAUCUGGUACGUCUGAUUUUGUAUCGGCGAAAGGGUAGUGUAAAUAGGUUGAAAACGAUGUUUGUGUUGACAAGUUAAGCAGAUGCAUCAGGGGGAAGUUGAUAGCGGACAUGUGAAGUUGAUGGUUCAAUUUGGCUGUACCAGACAAAAGACUUCUGGAGAGAGGCGCAGAUCCUUUCAAAUCUUCAUCAUCCAAAUGUGGUUGCAUUCUAUGGGGUAGUACCUGAUGGAGCUGGUGGUACGUUGGCAACUGUAACUGAAUUCAUGGUCAGUGGGUCACUUAGGCAUGCGCUACUUAAGACAGAUAGAUCGCUUGACCGUCAUAGAAAGCUUAUAAUUGCAAUGGAUGCAGCUUUCGGCAUGGAAUACUUGGAUUCAAAGAAUAUUUCUUGAUUUGAAGUGCAACAAUCUGCUAGUCAACUUGAGGGAUCCUCAACGACCUAUAUGUAAGGUUUGGAGAUGGCUUGGAUUGCUGUCUAUUUGAUUCUUAUUGGGGUUUCUGGCUUAGUUUUUUUGGUAACUUGUGCAAUUUUGACAUUGGUUUUGUAUAUCAAAAGGGCUGGAUGGGUGUAAGCACCUGUAGAAUAUCUGAAUGGCAUUAGAAUCAGUGUAAGAUAUUUAGGUGAUGAUGUGAGCUAAUCUUCUUUCAUGAUCUGAUCAUACUUGUAUGCAUGUAUGUAUCAUGCUUUGGGGUAAAUGGGGUUUAUGGAAGUAUGUUUUGGGACAUUUUCUCAGCAGCUCUUUUCAUGGUUUUUGAAAUUUAUUUCGAAAAUUAAUGUGGUCUGAGGCAUGUAUUCAACAUGCUCUUUCUAAUAUUAUUGCCUCUAUCUGUGGCUGAAUAACACAAUGAUUGGAUUGGAUUGGAUUAUGAUGUUGUGAACAUGACAUCACUUCUGGCUUGUGGUAUAAAUGCAGGUCUUAGCCUCAUUGGAGAUCUGUGGGCCUGAUAAGUAGUUAUAUAUUUAAUCAAGUUCUAUACUGCUGUCGAUUUGCUGCAUUAUUUAUCUCACAUUUUGGAGCAUUUGUGAUUUCUAUUAGAGUGGUUGCAUUGUGAUUUCUAUUUAAGUCAAGUAAAGAUUCAGUAUUUCUCUGUUGGUAACUCUAUAGAGAUCAGAAGCUCCAGUAGGGAAUUUAUUUAGAGCUGUGCGUCUUGGUAAGUGUAUAUGUGGUUCAGUGAUUCUUUAUAGGAGCUGACUGUUCUUUUUUUUUUUGUUCUUUUUUUUGGUAUUAGGCUGACGUUGUACAUUCUCUUAGAAACUUAAAACUUGGUUGGGUUUUUCUUGUAUAUAUUCCUAGCUAUCUAGAUUUUGAGUAGUUUCUUUUAUCAUGCUCAUUUUCUGGUAAUUACCAUGAGUUGUGCCGAUACGCCAGGAGAGUUCACCAAACCACUCGACCCUCUGACAUUGAUCCAUCUAGAGAACGAGAAAAACUCUCAUGCAACGGGGAUAGCACUUUUUGCUAUCCCCGGCUAAUAACGCAAUGACAUGUAGGAUAACUUUUUCACAUGUCAUUGUGUUAUUGGUCGGGGAUAGCAAAAUAGUGCUAUCCCCAUUUCAUGUAAGUUUUUUUCCUAGAGAACUAGCCUGGCAACACCCUGAGCACCAAUGAGAAUUUGGUGAUGUUGUCAGUGCUGUUCAUUCAGCAACAAAUUGGACUAAGGGGGACUGAAACCUCAGACAAAAAUUGGACUUAUACCAUUCAGUAUUAUGGUGUUCACUAGGAGGAUAUGGUGUUUGACAAAGAUGCUUAUGAAUGAGAUGUCAUAAGGUUGAAUAUAAAAUAUAUGAAAGUCCAUUUUGAAGAAUUACUACAACUUACUAACGAAAAAUUAUAUAUAUAUAUAUAUAUAUAUAUAUACAUGAUUUUUAUACCUAACGAUGACCAAAGUUCCAGGGCAUGGAUCCAAACUUUUUACCUUCCUGCUCAUAAAAAUAAAAUAAGAGAAAUCAUUAUUUUUCUGAAAACACGAGCUGAAUCCUUAAUUAGCUUGUUAGUUUUGCUUCAUUAAUGCAUUUUUGCAUUUGAGUUUUCAUAAACCUAUGCAACAAGGCUCUUCUCAUCAAUGGAACAACGCCGUGAAAGUAGAGGAUUGAAAUAAUGACCAGUGAUUUAUCAUUUAGUGCAUCCAGCUCUUUUAUUCCAACAUUAGGGGUUUUUCUGCACCACCGAAGCCAUUCUUCUUCACGCUUUUCAGUCGCUCGCAGUAGAAGAACGCCCUGAGUCUCUGAUUCUCUGGUUCUCCUCGAGUUGCUUUGCCAUGGAUCAUCCCGAAACCUUCUUUUAUAGCUCCCUUCUUCCACAGCCGAACCAAGCCCUCAAGCAACAGCUAAUUGUAUAUGCAACUAGGGAAAUAUUGGAGGGCCGCAUCCCAUACCCAGAACAACUUAGGCCCAGGAUCUUAAGUGAUGUCAUACAAUUGCUUGAUCAGUAUCCUUCAUUAGGCCUGACCAGGCGUAGGUUUCAGCCCGAGGAGCCUGCAGUUUUGGUAGUCAGAGGCACCAUUCCUAUAUUUUACACAAACAGUCUAUAAAAUUCCAGUUGAGAUAUGGGUGCUGCACAGCUAUCCAACAUCUCCACCGAGGGCGUGCGUGACUCUGGAUGACCAAAACGCAAUGGCAAUCAAGUUACAUCAUCCAUAUGUCGAUGCUAGAAGGGGAGGCCUCAUAAAUGUACCACAUAUGCUGGAUUGGCACUCAGAAAGAACUCUUGUGGUUCUAGUAACCACCAUGUGUGAGUGUUUUAGUCGAGACCCACCCGUACGGGCAGGGCCAGGGCCACCACCACUGCCACCAUCGCCGCCGCAGCCGCAGCCAUCUCAUGUGCAAGAAAGGCAGAGGCAAGAGCUAGAGGAAGAUAGGCAUAGGCAAGAGCAAGUGAUGCAGAGGCAAGAGGGAGGAAGACAACAACAAGCGCAAGAGAGGCGGUCAUCGAGCUUGUGGUAUUCUCUGAUGAGGCGUUUAGCAUUUUUGUGCAUAGUUUGUAUGUUAUUCAGCAUUACGACUUGUUCAUGGUCUACUUUUACACUUGCAGUUCUAGUCUUAGGUUUUGCUUUGUUGUGGUGAUUUCUUAUGUAAUGAUACUUUGAUAUGUCAACAAAAUUCACUUGAUUGAAUGCUAAUUAGUUUUUCUGCAAUUUGGCACUUGCGUGCUGCAUUUCUGAGAAUUGUGACUUGCAGAAAUGCAGUUUAAUUGUGACAUGA